rnacentral:rRNA from 1 species
AUUGAACGCUGGCGGCAGGCCUAACACAUGCAAGUCGAGCGGAUGAAGGGAGCUUGCUCCUGGAUUCAGCGGCGGACGGGUGAGUAAUGCCUAGGAAUCUGCCUGGUAGUGGGGGAUAACGUCCGGAAACGGGCGCUAAUACCGCAUACGUCCUGAGGGAGAAAGUGGGGGAUCUUCGGACCUCACGCUAUCAGAUGAGCCUAGGUCGGAUUAGCUAGUUGGUGGGGUAAAGGCCUACCAAGGCGACGAUCCGUAACUGGUCUGAGAGGAUGAUCAGUCACACGGGAAGUGGGACAGGCUCCAGACGCCUGCGGGAGGGCGCAGUGUGCAAUGGUAGACAGCGGUGGAGAGCCUUAUACAACCAUCGGGAGUGUGUGAAGAAGGUGUUCGGAGUGUAAAGCCCGCUAUCUUGUUGUAAAGCGCAGUAGGUUGAUACCAUGCUGUUUUGACGUUACUGGCAAAAUAAGCACCGGCUAACUACGUG